rnacentral:rRNA from 1 species
CGGCGAGUGAAGCGGCAACAGCUCAAAUUUGAAAUCUGGCCCUCGGGUCCGAGUUGUAAUUUGUAGAGGAUGCUUUUGGUGCGGUGCCUUCCGAGUUCCCUGGAACGGGACGCCAUAGAGGGUGAGAGCCCCGUCUGGUUGGACGCCAAUCCUCUGUAAAGCUCCUUCGACGAGUCGAGUAGUUUGGGAAUGCUGCUCUAAAUGGGAGGUAUAUGUCUUCUAAAGCUAAAUAUUGGCCAGAGACCGAUAGCGCACAAGUAGAGUGAUCGAAAGAUGAAAAGCACUUUGAAAAGAGAGUUAAAAAGUACGUGAAAUUGUUGAAAGGGAAGCGCUCAUGACCAGACUUGGGCUUGGUAGAUCAACCUGGGUUCUCCCUGGUGCACUCUUCCUCGUUCAGGCCAGCAUCAGUUCGCUGCGGGGGAUAAAGGUUUCGGGAAUGUGGCUCCCUCGGGAGUGUUAUAGCCCGUUGCGUAAUACCCUGCGGUGGACUGAGGUUCGCGUUCUGCAAGGAUGCUGGCGUAAUGGUCAUCAGUGACCCGUCUUGAAACACGGACCAAGGAGUCGUCUUCGUAUGCGAGUGUUCGGGUGUUAAACCCCUACGCGUAAUGAAAGUGAACGCAGGUGAGAGCUUCGGCGCAUCAUCGACCGAUCCUGAUGUUCUCGGAUGGAUUUGAGUAAGAGCAUACGGGGCCGGACCCGAAAGAAGGUGAACUAUGCCUGUAUAGGGUGAAGCCAGAGGAAACUCUGGUGGAGGCUCGCAGCGGUUCUGACGUGCAAAUCGAUCGUCAAAUAUGGGCAUGGGGGCGAAAGACUAAUCGAACCUUCUAGUAGCUGGUUUCCGCCGAAGUUUCCCUCAGGAUAGCAGUGUUGAACUCAGUUUUAUGAGGUAAAGCGAAUGAUUAGGGACUCGGGGGCGCUAUUUAGCCUUCUUCCAUUCUCAAACUUUAAAUAUGU